rnacentral:rRNA from 1 species
GAUGAACGCUAGCGGCAGGCUUAACACAUGCAAGUCGAGGGGCAGCGCGAUGUAGCAAUACAUUGGCGGCGACCGGCGCACGGGUGCGUAACACGUAUGGAACUUACCCUUUACUGGGAGAUAGCCCGGAGAAAUCCGGAUUAAUAUCCCAUAAUAAACGAAGUGGCAUCACUUUGUUUGAAAGCUCCGGCGGUAAAGGAUGGCCAUGCGCACGAUUAGCUAGUAGGUGAGGUAACGGCUCACCUAGGCUACGAUCGUUAGGGGGCCUGAGAGGGUUAUCCCCCANACUGGUACUGAGACACGGACUAGACUCCUACGGGAGCAGCAGUGAGGAAUAUUGCGCAAUGGAGGCAACUCUGACGCAGCCAUGCCGCGUGCAGGAAGAAGGCGCUUACGCGUUGUAAACUGCUUUUAACCGGGAAGAAACCCUCCGACGUGUCGGAGGUUGACGGUACCGGAGGAAUAAGCACCGGNUAACUCGUGCCAGCAGCCGCGGUAAAGU